rnacentral:rRNA from 1 species
AUGCCGAAGGUCUACGGCACCGGCGUCUUCGAGUUCCGGCACCCCCGCGCCGCCGAGUACCCGCUCCCCGCCGAAGUCUCCACCUCAGCGGCACCUGACAAGCCCCCCGCCUCCACUGGCGUCUCCAUCACACUCCUCGACAUCCAGCGCGACCGCCUCACCCGCGCUGCCGCGGAGCACUGGGGCUCGCCAGCAGCCGCCGCCGCCUUCGAUGCUGACCUCGUAAGGGAGAUCUACGCCACUGAGCUCCGUGUGGAGGGCCGCGGUCGCAAGACGGUCCCGCUUCACCGUGUCAUGAUCCUGGAGGUCAGCCAGUACCUCGAGAACUACCUUUGGCCGCACUUCGAUCCAGAUGACGCGUCCUUUGAGCACGUCAUGUCCAUGAUCCUNNNNNNNNNNNNNNNNUUUCGAGAGAAUGUGGCGGUAUGGACAUCCUUCCAUGCCCGGAAGGACGCGUUCAAAGGCUUCCUAUGGCGCGUUCUCAAGCUGAAGGAAGAGGAUAGGGAUGUUAGUAUGGCAGAGAAGACAAACUACCUCUUGUUUAUGAUAAACGCAUUUCAGAGUUUGGAGGAUGAAAUUGUCCGGGAAACUAUACUCCAGGUGGUAAGCUUAAAGUUGUGGCAUACUCUUUCUUUUGGACGACUUCAGAUGGAGCUUUGCCUUAAUCCUGAAUUGAUUAAGAAGUGGACAAAAAUUAAAAGAAAAGAAGCAAAGGAAGGAAAAAAGGCUGGGAAAACUGGUAAUUCUUCAGAAAUGCUUGAGAAUAAAUUCCUUAGGAACCUAAUGGAAGAAUUCCUGGAGGUUCUUGAUUCAAAGGUCAUAUUAUCUAGUCAAGAUGGUGGAGAAGAAUCUGUCUUUAAUGAAUCACUUAGUGGGCAGGUUGAUAAUUCUAGUGUCUUGUAUUGUGAAAGAUUCAUGGAAUUUCUGAUUGAUAUGUUGAGCCAGCUUCCUACGAGAAGAUUUCUAAGGCCGCUUAUCGCUGAUGUUGCUGUUGUUGCCAAGUGCCACUUAAGCAUGCUUUAUGCUCAUGAAAAGGGGCGUCUUUUUGCACAAUUGGUGGACUUACUUCAGUUCUACGAAGGCUUUGAGAUUAAUGAUCAUUCUGGGACACAGCUUAGUGAUGAUGAUGUCUUGCAGGCUCACUAUUCUCGUUUCCAAGCUUUUCAGCUGCUAGCAUUCAAACAAGUGCCUAAGUUGCGAGACCUUGCCUUGUGUAAUAUUGGUUCAAUCCAUAAGCGUGCUGAUUUAACAAAGAAGCUGCUUGUCUUGUCAGAUAUGGAACUGCAAGAUCUGGUUUGCAAUAAGCUUAAAAUAAUUUCAGAGAAGGAUCCAUGGACUGAAAGGCGUGAUUUCCUUAUCGAGGUCCUAGUUGCUUUUUUUGAGAAGCGUCAAUCCCAGAAAGAUGCAGUUAAUGCACUUCCUCUUUAUCCAAAUGAACAGAUCAUGUGGGAUGAGAGCCUUGUUCCUAGCAUCAAUUAUUCUGGAGAAGGCUGUCUUGCCCUCCCAAAACUCAAUCUCCAAUUUCUGACACUUCAUGAUUAUUUGCUGAGGAAUUUUAAUCUCUUUCGUCUUGAAUCAACAUAUGAAAUUCGCGAAGAUAUUCAGGAAGCUGUUCCUCAUCUACAUGCUUACAUCAACAAUGAGGGGGACACUUCCUUUCGUGGAUGGUCCAGGAUGGCUGUUCCAAUCAAAGAAUUUAGGAUCACACAAGUGAAGCAACCAAACAUUGGAGAGGUUAAGCCUUCUGCUGUAACUGCUGAUGUUACUUUUAGCAUAUCAAGCUACAGACCACAGAUAAAAUCUGAGUGGGAUGCUCUGAAAGAGCAUGAUGUGUUAUUUUUGUUGUCAAUCUGCCCAUCUUUUGAACCUCUUAGCCCUGAGGAGGCUGCAAAAUCAACUGUGUCUGAAAGGUUAGGAUUGCAAUAUGUACGUGGUUGUGAGGUGAUUGAAAUCCGUGAUGAGGAAGGGGGACUCAUGAAUGACUAUACAGGAAGGGUAAAGAGGGAUGAGUGGAAAUCUCCAAAGGGUGAGAUUCGUACAGUUAAAAUUGCCUUAGAUACAGCACAGUAUCACAUUGAUGCUACUGAGUUAGCAGAGAAGGGUGCAGAAAAUGUUUAUGGGACAUUUAAUAUUAUAAUGAGAAGGAAACCCAAGGAAAAUAAUUUCAAAGCUAUCCUAGAAUCCAUACGUGAUCUAAUGAAUGAAACAUGUGUAGUUCCUGAAUGGUUGCAUAACAUAUUCUUGGGUUACGGAAAUCCUUCUGCCGCACAGUGGAUAAAUAUGCCUGAUCUUCUGGAAACUAUAGAUUUUAAGGACACUUUUCUUGAUGCUAGCCACGUUGUGCAAAGCUUUCCAGCUUUCCAGGUCACAUUCAUCAAUACUGAUGGUACAGAAAACAUGCAUCCAAGCCCUCCCUUUAGGAUCAAGUUGUCCAAGAAAAUGAGGGAAAUAAGUCAUGCUCUACCCGGCAAUGUAAAUGCCUCUGAUACUGCAAGCAAGAACAACAUGGUUGAUGAUGAAGGGUCUCAGAAAGAAAAACUAAGGGUGGAGACUUACAUUCCUGCUGACCCAGUGCCAUAUCCUCAAGAUAAACCUAACCAGAACUCAGUGAGGUUUACACCCACUCAGGUCGGCGCUAUAAUAUCUGGUAUUCAACCUGGGUUGACGAUGGUUGUUGGUCCUCCUGGAACGGGAAAAACAGAUACAGCUGUGCAGAUAUUAAAUGUUCUAUAUCAUAACUGUCCUUCACAAAGAACACUUAUUAUAACCCAUUCGAAUCAAGCUUUGAAUGAUUUGUUCGAGAAGAUAAUGCAGAGGGAUGUGCCUGCUAGGUACCUUCUUCGUCUUGGUCAGGGUGAGCAAGAACUGGCAACUGAUCUUGAUUUUAGCCGUCAAGGUCGUGUAAAUGCUAUGCUGGUUCGGCGACUAGAGCUGCUUGGUGAAGUUGCAAAACUGGCAAGAUCCCUUCAUCUUCCUGAAGAUGUGAGCUACACAUGUGAAAAUGCUGCAUAUUUUUGGUUAUUACAUGUUUAUGCCCGCUGGGAACAAUUCUUGGCCGCCUGUGUGCCAAAUAAGGAGAAUCCCUCUUUUGUUAAAGACCGUUUUCCAUUUUCUGAGUUCUUUUUGGAUACCCCACAGCCUGUGUUUACUGGUGAGUCCUUUGAGAAAGAUAUGCAUGCAGCCAAAGGAUGUUUCAAACAUCUUUCUACGAUAUUCCAAGAGCUGGAAGAGUGCAGGGCUUUUGAGUUACUGAAGUCAACAGCUGAGCGAGCAAAUUAUCUAAUGACUAAACAAGCUAAGAUUGUUGCCAUGACUUGUACUCAUGCAGCAUUGAAGAGAAGAGACUUUCUUCAAUUGGGUUUCAAAUAUGACAAUUUACUGAUGGAAGAAAGUGCACAGAUAUUGGAGAUAGAGACUUUUAUACCAACUCUCCUGCAACGGCAGGAAGAUGGCUAUGCUCGUCUUAAACGCUGCAUCUUAAUUGGUGAUCACCAUCAGUUACCCCCUGUCGUGAAGAACAUGGCUUUUCAGAAGUACAGCCACAUGGACCAGAGUCUCUUCACAAGGUUUGUUCGCCUUGGUGUCCCUUAUAUUGAACUCAAUGCUCAGGGUCGUGCCAGACCUAGUAUUGCUCAGCUUUAUAAUUGGAGAUACAGAGAACUGGGAGAUCUGCCUUAUGUACAUGAGGAAGCUAUAUUCCAUAAAGCUAAUUCUGGGUUCUCUUAUGAGUAUCAGCUGGUUGAUGUUCCUGAUUAUCGUGGCAGAGGCGAGUCUGCUCCUUCUCCUUGGUUCUACCAGAAUGAAGGGGAGGCUGAGUAUAUUGUUAGUGUCUAUAUUUACAUGCGUCUGAUUGGAUACCCUGCCAAUAAGAUUUCAAUAUUAACCACUUACAAUGGUCAGAAGCUUCUUAUUCGUGAUGUUAUCAGCAGACGAUGCAAGCCAUGGAAUAUUGAGCCACCUUGCAAGGUUACUACGGUGGACAAAUUCCAGGGUCAACAAAAUGAUUUUAUUUUAUUGUCUCUUGUCCGGACCCGAUUUGUGGGUCAUCUUCGUGAUGUCAGAAGGCUUAUUGUGGCAAUGUCCCGUGCUCGUUUGGGUUUGUAUGUGUUCUGCCGCCGUUCUCUGUUUGAACAAUGCUAUGAACUGCAGCCAACAUUCCAGCUUCUACUCCAAAGGCCCGAUAAGCUUGCCUUGAAUCUUGAAGAGUGCACUCCGUCUACAGAGCGACCUUUGGGAGAAGCUGGAAAUAUUCAUUAUAUUACUGAUGUUGAAGAUAUUGGACACUUGGUGAACUUCAGACUGGAACAUCUUCGCCAGAUGCAAUCCAUGCAAUAUUAUGCACCCCAUGCAAAUGCUGAUGCAGCCCCUCCUGAAACUGGCAAUGGUGAUAUUGUUUUGGAUAAUGCGAAGGAUGGCACAGAGAAAGAAAAUGGUGAGGCAACUGAUGCUGUGAAUAAUGAUAAGAUGGAGGAAGAUACUGUUGAGUCAAAAGAUGAUAUGGUGCAGGAAGUAAACAAGAUGGAUGAAGGUAAUGUGACUAUAGAAGACAAGAUGGGGGAAGAAAGUGCUGAUGAGGCUAAGGACAAGAUGGUGGAAACUACUGCUGAAGUGGCUAUUGAGAACAACAUAGUGGAAGUAAAUGCCAGUGUGGCCAAGGACAAGAUGGACGAAGAAAAUGCCGUGUCAAAGGGCGUGGAGCAAGAUUGACCUGAUAUAAUCGUUGGCUGGGUAACAACGGAAGUUGCUAAAGGCCGAACGAAGGCAUGCAAAAACGUAUGGUCCUGUCAAAAGAACAUGCCUCCAUAUGCCACCUGUUUGAACCUUGAUCAGGUUAUAUGCAGGAGGCAUGUACUACAAGCUUCUGCAAUGAUAACUUCUCCAAUUCGAACAUAAUAUUUCAGAGGACAGCUGGAACAUUGGUGUUGUGCAAUUUUUGUGCAUUAGAUUUAUGUAUUGUAAUUUGAGCGAUAAUGUUAGUACGUAUAAGUCACUCAAGGCGUGGAAAUAGACAAGCUCGAACCCGACUUUUAUAACUACCCAGUUAUGAGGCAACGUUUGAUCAGUCUGAAGCAGGUCGGUCACCAUGCUGAGUCCAUGCGCUGACCUCAGGUCUAGGACACAGAAAACAUGUAGAACUAGACACACGAAACAUGUAGAACUAGAG